AUGUCAUGUCAUUGUGUUUAUGAAGAUGGGUUCAGCAAUGGUGUAGACAUGUUAUAUUGGUGUGGUAUUACCAUGUUAUGUCAUUGUGUUAUAUGAAGAUGGGUUCAGCAAUGGUGUAGACAUGUUAUAUUGGUGUGGUAUUACCAUGUCAUAUCAUUGUGUUCUAUGAAGAUGGGUUCAGCAAUGGUGUAGACAUGUUAUAUUGGUGUGGUAUUACCAUGUUAUGUCAUUGUGUUCUAUGAAGAUGGGUUCAGCAAUGGUGUAGACAUGUUAUAUUGGUGUGGUAUUACCAUGCCAUUCAUUGUGUUCUAUGAAGAUGGGUUCAGCAAUGGUGUAGACAUGUUAUAUUGGUGUGGUAUUACCAUGCCAUGUCAUUGUGUUCUAUGAAGAUGGGUUCAGCAAUGGUGUAGACAUGUUAUAUUGGUGUGGUAUUACCAUGUUAUGUCAUUGUGUUCUAUGAAGAUGGGUUCAGCAAUGGUGUAUACAUGUUAUAUUGGUGUGGUAUUACCAUGUCAUGUCAUUGUGUUCUAUGAAGGUGGGUUCAGCAAUGGUGUAGACAUGUUAUAUUGGUGUGGGAAUAUUUUAGUAAAAAUUAAGUAAGAUCACAAAGUUUGGUAAAUCACAUUAAAAUAUCACUGAUAAUGCACUGAUACUUUUGACAGAUGGAUCUUUCAGCAGAGGAUUCAUUACCUUUGAUGAAGACAUGUCUACCUUUCAAAAGUGUAAAGGAUUUAUUGUGUUUUAGUGCGAGCUCAUUUUUAUUUGUUUGGUUUUAUGAUCAAAGCACUAAAUCCGAGUAUCACUGUUUCUUUUCAAUUUUUAUUGAUACUUGUAAAAUGGAAGGUCUGACACUAAUAUCUAAAAACUCUUAUAUUACUUUUCUGUUUGACUUGAUCAAUAUAUUCUAUGAUUUUUUGGUUUUUCAAAUGAAAAUUUACCAAAUAAUAUUGCUUUGAACAAAUCUAGUUUUAGAGCCCAACUUAAAAAAAUGUUCAUGAUAUUGUAUUUUGAUGUUUAUUAGAACUUUUUUCUAUUGUUUCCUGUUUGUUACAUUAAUAGUGUCACCAACAGCCUGAGUUAUUCAUUUAUAUUAUUUGCUCAGUGUUACAUUGAUAAUGACAUCAACAACAAUUGUUAUUUAGUUGCGAUAUUAUUACCUUUUGAGUGCUUCCAUUACCCUAAUUUACUCAGCAUUUUUCUUUGUCGACACUCAAAUGUUCGAUCAUGUCCACUUACCCAUAUAUAUAUAUAUUUCAUAUGUAUUAUCAACCCGUUAGUCGUUACGUAACAGUUUCUGUAAUAAUUGUUACAUUUUAAUUUACUACUACACAAUUUGUGUGUUACACUUGUUAUAUUUAUAACGUUGGGCUCAUUAAAGUUUUUGAACCAUAAAAGCCGUGUUUUUCAGUUACAAAUGUAGUCAAUUUUCAAGCGUCUAGAGUGCAAUAAAUGAUUUACUAGUUAUAA